rnacentral:rRNA from 1 species
CAGCAGCCACGGUAAUACGUAGGUGGCAAGCGUUGUCCGGAAUUAUUGGGCGUAAAGGGCUCGCAGGCGGUUUCUUAAGUCUGAUGUGAAAGCCCCCGGCUCAACCGGGGAGGGUCAUUGGAAACUGGGAAACUUGAGUGCAGAAGAGGAGAGUGGAAUUCCACGUGUAGCGGUGAAAUGCGUAGAGAUGUGGAGGAACACCAGUGGCGAAGGCGACUCUCUGGUCUGUAACUGACGCUGAGGAGCGAAAGUGUGGGGAGCGAACAGGAUUAGAUACCCCUGUAGUCCCUGUCUCUUAUAA